UACGUAGGGGGCUAGCGUUGUCCGGAAUCAUUGGGCGUAAAGCGCGUGUAGGCGGUUCGGUAAGUCCGCUGUGAAAGUCGGGGGCUCAACCCUCGAAAGCCGGUGGAUACUGUCGGACUAGAGUGCGGAAGAGGCGAGUGGAAUUCCUGGUGUAGCGGUGAAAUGCGCAGAUAUCAGGAGGAACACCAAUUGCGAAGGCAGCUCGCUGGGACGUUACUGACGCUGGAGACGCGAAAGCGUGGGGAGCGAACAGG
rnacentral:rRNA from 1 species